GAGACUGGAAAGGUCUAUGCCAACUCCAGCAAGGUGUGGGUCCAGGAAUACAUCAGCAACUGGAAUUAAACCCCGGCAAGGUCUGGACCCAGCAAGAAAAGUGCUAGAGAUGUGAACAGAUUGGGCACAGGGACCCAAAACAGGCAAAAGUCUCUGCAACCUCAGAAACUGAUUCCAGAUCUGGGGGUCUAACUUCAUUUUAAAUGAAGAAGGUGCCAGAGGCUUACUGUUUGCUUAAACUCACAGAAGGCCCUAUGCAUCUUGUUUGCAGCUGAAUCUCCAGUGCUCUGCUCAUGGUAUGUAUUCAAU
rnacentral:lncRNA from 10 species